CGGCGGGUCACCUCCCCCCAACGGGAGGCUCAGUACUGGAAGGUACUCAAUG
rfam:Rhizobiales bacterium NRL2, complete genome.